rnacentral:rRNA from 1 species
GACGAACGCUGGCGGCGUGCUUAACACAUGCAAGUCGAACGGUGAAGCGCCUUCCUUUUUGGUGGGUGUGGAUGUGUGGCGAACGGGUGAGUAACACGUGAGUAACCUGCCCCCUUCUUCUGGAUAACCGCAUGAAAGUGUGGCUAAUACGGGAUAUUCUGGGUCUGUCGCAUGAUGGGUCUGGGAAAGAUAUUGUUUCGGUGGGGGAUGGGCUCGCGGCCUAUCAGCUUGUUGGUGGGGUGAUGGCCUACCAAGGCGGUGACGGGUAGCCGGCCUGAGAGGGUGGACGGUCACACUGGGACUGAGACACGGCCCAGACUCCUACGGGAGGCAGCAGUGGGGAAUAUUGCACAAUGGGCGCAAGCCUGAUGCAGCGACGCCGCGUGAGGGAUGGAGGCCUGCGGGUUGUGAACCUCUUUCGCCAGUGAAGCAGGCCUGCCUCGUUUGUGGGUGGGUUGACGGUAGCUGGAUAAGAAGCGCCGGCUAACUACGUG